AACACAUGCAAGUCGAACGAAGAGCGAUGGAAGCUUGCUUCUAUCAAUCUUAGUGGCGAACGGGUGAGUAACGCGUAAUCAACCUGCCCUUCAGAGGGGGACAACAGUUGGAAACGACUGCUAAUACCGCAUACGAUCUAACCUCGGCAUCGAGGAUAGAUGAAAGGUGGCCUCUAUUUAUAAGCUAUCACUGAAGGAGGGGAUUGCGUCUGAUUAGCUAGUUGGAGGGGUAACGGCCCACCAAGGCGAUGAUCAGUAGCCGGUCUGAGAGGAUGAACGGCCACAUUGGGACUGAGACACGGCCCAGACUCCUACGGGAGGCAGCAGUGGGGAAUCUUCCGCAAUGGACGAAAGUCUGACGGAGCAACGCCGCGUGAGUGAUGACGGCCUUCGGGUUGUAAAGCUCUGUUAAUCGGGACGAAAGGCCUUCUUGCGAAUAGUUAGAAGGAUUGACGGUACCGGAAUAGAAAGCCACGGCUAACUACGUGCCAGCAGCCGCGGU
rnacentral:rRNA from 2 species